rnacentral:rRNA from 1 species
UGCCAGACUCCUACGGGAGGCAGCAGUGGGGAAUAUUGCACAAUGGGGGGAACCCUGAUGCAGCGACGCCGCGUGGGUGAAGGAGCACCUCGGUGCGUAAAGCCCUAUCGGCAGGGAAGAAAAGCGAACAGGUUCGCCUGGACGGUACCUGACUAAGAAGCCCCGGCUAACUACGUGCCAGCAGCCGCGGGAAUACGUAGGGGGCAAGCGUUAUCCGGAUUCACUGGGUGUAAAGGGAGCGUAGACGGCGACGCAAGUCUCAUGUGAAAUACCCGGGCUUAACUUGGGGGUUGCAUGGGAAACUGUAGAGCUUGAGUACAGGAGAGGCAAGCGGAAUUCCUAGUGUAGCGGUGAAAUGCAUAGAUAUUAGGAGGAACACCAGUGGCGAAGGCGGCUUGCUGGACUGAAACUGACGCUGAGGCUCGAAAGCGUGGGGAGCAAACAGGAUUAGAUACCCGAGUA